CGCAGCCUGGGAUAACACUGACGCCUGCGCACGAAAGCGUGGGAGCAAACAGGAUUAGAUACCCUGGUAGUCCACGCCCUAAACGAUGUCAACUAGCUGUUGGGGCCUUCGGGCUCCGGUAGCGCAGCUAACGCGUGAAGUUGACCGCCUGGGGAGUACGGUCGCAAGAUUAAAAACUCAAAGGAAUUGACGGGGACCCGCACAAGCGGUGGAUGAUGUGGAUUAAUUCGAUGCAAAGCGAAAAACCUUACCUACCCUUGACAUGUCUGAAUCCCGAAGAGAUUUGGGAGUGCCUGCAAGAGAACCGGAACACAGGUGCUGCAUGGCUGUCGUCAGCUCGUGUCGUGAGAUGUUGGAUUAAGUCCCGCAACGAGCGCAACCCUUGUCAUUAGUUGCUACGAAAGGACACUCUACGAGACUGCCGGUGACAAACCGGAGGAAGGUGGGGAUGACGUCAAGUCCUCAUGGCCCUUAUGGGUAGGGCUUCACACGUCAUACAAUGGUCGGGACAGAGGGUCGCCAACCCGCGAGGGGAGUCAAUCCCAGAAACCCGAUCGUAGUCCGGAUCGUAGUCUGCAACCGACUGCGUGAAGUCGGAAUCGCUAGUAAUCGCGGAUCAGCAUGUCGCGGUGAAUACGUUCCCGGGUCUUGUACACACCGCCCGUCACACUGGAGUGGGUUUUAACAGAAGUAGUUAGCCUAACCGUAAGGAGGGCGAUUACCACGGUAGGAUUCAUGAUCAGGGGUGAAGUCGUAACAAAGGUAG
rnacentral:misc_RNA from 1 species